rnacentral:tRNA from 3 species
GCUCGCGCUGGUGCUGGUUCUGGUGCCGGUGCUGGUGCCGGUGGAGGUGCCUGCACCGGUGCGGGACCGAGCGUGGGCUCC